UAUUGUUUGUUGAACAAGAGAGUAGUUGUAUUUACUUGAUAAAAGCGAGUUUGGAGCUGGUGAAAGCCAAACGAAAAGAGUACAAUGAAGCGCACUUGGAGAACGCUGUCUAGCACAGACGGUCAUCUACCGUUAUCAGAUAAAGUGGGUUCUAACAAAUAGAACAAUUGGAGUGGUACCGCGGGAUAUCUCGUCUCUAGU
rnacentral:ncRNA from 1 species